AUUGAACGCUGGCGGCAGGCCUAACACAUGCAAGUCGAGCGGUAGAGAGAAGCUUGCUUCUCUUGAGAGCGGCGGACGGGUGAGUAAUGCCUAGGAAUCUGCCUGGUAGUGGGGGAUAACGUUCGGAAACGGACGCUAAUACCGCAUACGUCCUACGGGAGAAAGCAGGGGACCUUCGGGCCUUGCGCUAUCAGAUGAGCCUAGGUCGGAUUAGCUAGUUGGUGGGGUAAUGGCUCACCAAGGCGACGAUCCGCAACUGGUCUGAGAGGAUGAUCAGUCACACUGGAACUUAGACACGGUCCAGGCUCCUACGGGAGGCAGCAGUGGGGAAUAUUGGACAAUGGGCGAAAGCCUGAUCCAGCCAUGCCGCGUGUGUGAAGAAGGUCUUCGGAUUGUAAAGCACUUUAAGUUGGGAGGAAGGGCAGUAAAUUAAUACGUUGCUGUUUUGACGUUACCGACAGAAUAAGCACCGGCUAACUCUGUG
rnacentral:rRNA from 1 species